rnacentral:rRNA from 1 species
CUACGGGUGGCUGCAGCUAAGAAUCUUCCGCAAUGGACGAAAGUCUGACGGAGCGACGCCGCGUGAACGAUGAAGGCCGUGAGGUUGUAAAGUUCUUUUCCGAGGGGAGAAUAAGGAUGGCAGGGAAUGGCCGUCUGAUGACGUGAACUCGGGAAUAAGCCCCGGCUAACUACGUGCCAGCAGCCGCGGUAACACGUAGGGGGCGAGCGUUGUUCGGAAUCAUUGGGCGUAAAGGGUGCGCAGGCGGUUAUGCAAGUCUGGUGUGAAAGGUCUCGGCUCAACCGAGGAAACGCGCUGGAAACUGUGGAACUCGAGUACAGGAGGGGGAGUUGGAAUUCCAGGUGUAGGGGUGAAAUCUGUAGAUAUCUGGAAGAACACCGGUGGCGAAGGCGAACUUCUGGCCAUGUACUGACGCUGAGGCACGAAGGCGUGGGGAGCAAACAGGAUUAGAUACCCUGGUAGUC